AAGAAGGGAAUUAGCUAAUUAGCUAUGAAAUGAAACCAAAACAACUAUGGAAACAUUAUUUAUAAAAUGUGAUGUUUAAAACGUGAAUAUCCCCUCCAGUGGGUUAAGUGUGAAAAAAUUUAAUUUUUAAUUUAAGUGUGUGAAUCCUCCGGGGUUCAUUAUAUAGGCCUAAUCAUGUGGAACAUGAUGUGUGACGUGAUGCCGACGAUCUCGGAGGACUCAAUUUCCCAGCGCUCGUCGCAAUUCGGCGACGACGCAAACUUCGAGCAGCUGAUGGUCUCUAUGCUCGACGAGCGCGACAAGCUGGUGGACUCGUUAAAGAACGAGCAGGAGAAGACGAGCGACUACGAGAUCCGUGUGAAGGAGUUGGAGAAGGAGAGAGAUUCAUUAAACCGACAACUUAAUCAGAAUUUACCACAGGAGUUUGCAAGUUUAACCAAGGAGUUGAACCAGGCUAGGGAGCUAGUCUUAGAGAAGGAUGAAGAAAUAUCAGAACUUAAGGCUGAAAGGAAUAAUACCAGAUUACUCCUGGAACACCUGGAGUGCUUAGUUUCUAGACAUGAACGAUCCCUUAGAAUGACAGUCGUUAAACGUCAGACUGCGUCCCAAUCUGGCGUAUCAAGUGAAGUGGAAGUUCUUAAAGCAUUGAAAUCUCUCUUUGAACACCACAAAGCUUUAGAUGAGAAGGUGCGUGAGAGAUUGCGUGUAGCUCUGGAGAAAAAUGCUACUUUGGAGGAGGAGUGUAGUUCAGUAAGGGAAGAAUUAAGCCGACAGAGACUAGGGUUUAUUGAGGAGGAGGAGAAGAAAGCAAAGGAAGGAUAUGAGGAGAGGAAAGGAGAAGACGGAGAGAAGAAAAUUAAUGGAACUCUGGACCCGGAGGUCCUUGAGUUAAGAAAGCAGCUAGAGAAGCAGAGUAACGACCUUGGGAACGCAACGAGGUUGGUCGGAGAGUUGAGGGGGAAGGUGACCGACCUCGAGGACAAACUGAUCGGGAACAACAAGGAGCUCCACGGAGCACAGGACCUCAAUCAGGCUCUACAGCAUGAGUUCAAGGAGACAAUGGCUCAGAAAGAAGACCAGGAAGAGAGAAUUGCAACCUUAGAGAAGAGAUAUCUAAACAGUCAGAGGGAAGCAACUCAGCUUCAUGAUAUCAACGCUAGGCUAGAACAGGAGAUUAAGAACAAGGAGGAACAAAUUUGUCUCUACCAGGAGAAGAUAAAAGCAAUCAACGAGAAGCUUGAUAUCGCAGAACAGAAGCUAAUAGAGUACGCUUCCAUGCCAGAUAUUGAGGAGCAGCUCAAGGAUAGAAUGGAAGCUCUAGCAGCUGCUCAGGAACGGCAGGGAUCUGCAGAGGAGCAUGUUAGCCUUCUGGAGAAUUCCUUGGAAGAGAAAACAUCUGAGCUCUCCAGGUUGUCCCAGAGACUGAAAAUGAAUGAGGAACACAACCAACGUCUGUCCGCUACCGUAGACAAACUUCUUACCGAGAGUAACGAGAGGUUACAGGUUCACCUGAAGGAGAGAAUGCAUGCUCUAGAGGAGAAGAAUAAUCUGACUAACGAGCUGACCGCUACAAGGAAGAAAUUAGAGGAUUUAGCAAAUAUCAAGGGUGAGACUACCAAGGAACUACAGAAGAGUAGACUUGAGACAGAAAACCUUAAGAGACAGAUUCUACAACAGGAGAUUUCAUUUAAUAUUCAGAAAACAGAGGCUUUAACCAGAAAUCUGUCUCCUGGAAACCAUGAAGGGGAUAGAAACAAGCAGCAAGAUGAGAGUCUCCGUGGUGAAUCAUCUAGUAGACUGGGGAGCAUGCCGAGGGGAACCUCAUUAAACAUGAAAAACCUCGAGGACAGCUGGGGAUACGACAACAUGGACGGGGACCCGGAGGACAGUGAGUCUGUGAUGACAGAUUUGCUGUCCCCAGGGGGACAGACAGAUGCACAGACCUUGGCGUGUAUGUUACAGGAGCAGCUGGAUGCUAUUAACAACGAGAUCCGGUUAAUUCAGGAGGAGAAGCAAUCCACAGAACAGAGGGCAGAGGAACUAGAGUCUAGAGUAGGAAGUGUACAGGAUAUGCAUAUGCUGCUGCAGCAGGGUAGUGUAGGAGGUCCCUCCUCCACCUCCUGGGCAGGGCUGAGUGGUAUUCCUUCCCACCAUCUAGGUGUACCCCCUCAACCUCCCCCCAGAUCUCGUCUACAACCAAUGUAUGAUCCCCUCUCUUCUCCUACAUUAUCAGGGAGAACCACACCCAAGACCCCUAUGCUACAAGGACGCGGUGAUCCUUACGCACACAAAUACCACACAAUGCAUCUGGCCACGCCUAGUCAAGAGUUUAAUAGAGAAGAGGCGGAGAAGCAGAGAAGAAUGAUGGAAGGAUCUCCACCCACUCCUAGGUACGGGUCACUCAGGUUGGCACAGUUAUCAGCUAGUCAAGAAGAGCUUAGACGGCGGACUCCUUUAUCUAUGGCAAGUCCUGCGGGUACCAUAACCCCUGUAUCCUCAUUAUGUGGUAGUGAGACUCCCACAGCCCUAUCACCAGGGUUUGAGGGAGGGUUUAUCCCCAUCUCUCCCUCGGGAGAUGGUGGCUUUCUGUCUUCCCGUACCACACCGGCAGUCAUUAAUGACCAUAUAAGAUCCAGUUUGGAGGAAAGUUCUCAUUCUACCCCUUCCCCUUUAUCCUCAGCAGCUUCUAGUCAGGAUUCCUUGCAUAUAUCCCAGCUGGCUGCUCAAGAGCGUGCUGUGGCUGCUGCGAAGAAAAAAGGAAUCAAGUCAUCGCUCGGACGGAUCUUUGGGAAGAAAGAUAAAGGUUUGAAGAACCGUGGUGGAGGGUUUGUAACUGCCCCAAUGUCUGCAGGAGGUCAUGCCACCUAUAUGGGAGAGUCAGAGAUGGUUCAAAGUGACAGUAUGGGUGGCCUUGGAGGUUUGGCGGGCAAGGGAGACUUUGACAGAAGAAAAAAGAAAAAGCAUGAGCUUCUUGAAGAGGCAAUGAAGGCUGGCACACCGUUUGCAUUAUGGAAUGGACCAACUAUUGUGGCCUGGCUUGAACUAUGGGUUGGGAUGCCUGCAUGGUAUGUGGCGGCAUGUCGAGCCAACGUAAAGUCUGGUGCCAUUAUGUCAGCUUUAUCUGAUACUGAGAUACAGAGAGAGAUCGGUAUCAGCAAUCCUCUUCAUCGACUUAAACUACGCCUUGCAAUACAGGAAAUGGUAUCCCUAACCUCCCCUUCAGCUCCUGCUACUAGUAGAACUACCCUGGCCUACGGUGAUAUGAACCAUGAAUGGAUUGGUAACGAUUGGUUACCUUCCUUGGGUUUAUCACAGUACAGGACUACCUUCAUGGAGUGCUUAGUGGACGCAAGGAUGCUGGAUCAUUUAACGAAGAAAGAUCUGAGAGUCCAGUUAAAACUGGUUGAUAGUUUUCACAGAACCAGUUUAAUGUUCGGAAUAAAGUGCCUGAAACUCAUCAAUUUUGAUCGUGACCAGUUAACAGACAGGCGGAGACAAGCUGAGGCAGAUAUUAAGGAUGUAAUUGUUUGGAGCACAGAUAGAGUGAUGAGAUGGGUAGUUGGGGUCGGAUUAAAGGACUAUGCGAGUAACUUGGUUGAGUCCGGGGUUCACGGUGGUUUGAUAGCUCUUGAUUGUUCCUUCUCAUGGCAAAGUAUGGCUCUAGCCUUACAGAUACCAACCCAGAAUACUGGAGCUAGGCAGAUACUGGAGAGAGAGUUUAAUACUCUUAUACAGGUUGGAACAGAUCGGCAGCUGAUGGAGGACGACGACUCUGUUUCCUGACAAGGAGUCUCCCUCCCUUCCGGAGAGGAACGGGAGUCUUGAAUCUACAAAUUGACCAGAAGUCAUUACGUUGUUCAGACGUUAUUUAUUGACAUUUUUAAGAUUUAUAUUACUGACGUUUUUAAACGUUAGUUACUGCGUUUUUAAAACGUUUAUUACUCACGUUUUACAGACGUGAAUUACUCACGUUUUACAGACGUUAAUUACUAAUGUUUUUAAGACGUUCAUUACCGAAGUUUUAAAGACGUUAAUUACUGACGUUUUUCAAACGUCAACAAGAACUUUGUUAUUGAGAUAUGUCUCCCCUUUGUAUACGCUUUAUAAUCAGGCGAAACUGAGGGUGGUUUCUUCUUGCAUUUAAACAAAAUUUGCGAUUAGGAAACUGUUUCUUUAUCAGUACUCACUUAGUUGCGUAAAACUAUUUUCAACUUUUAAUUAAUAUCGUAAAAGAAUUCGAAUGAACUUAAACCUUGAUAUUUGUUUUAUGAUCAUGUAAAGGUUUAGAUUUUACAUGAUUUUCUUAUUGUUUACUGUACCAAAACUUCUGUAACUAUGAAUUGCACAUUUGCACAUGUCUCUUGUAAAUAUCAGAGUUUACAAGAGAAAAUAAUCAUCGAUUAGUCGGUCAGAUUGCCAUUUUGCACAGAAUAUGUAACAAGAAACAUGUAAACAAUUUGUCUCAAUUGUAAAUAUAUCCAUUAUUCUUACCCCAUCUUAUUAUCUACGUUUCUCUUCGUGGUAAAGUACCCACUCUAUGUAUUUAUUUAUUUAGAAAUCAAACCAGAUUUAUUCAAGGCGACAUGGGUCAUAUUUUAAAAAUUUCGAAUGGCCUUAGUACUUAGUAAUUUUUUUAUUUAAACUGGCUUGACUAACAUCUGCUCGUCGCUCUGUGUCGCCUUUUAUUAAGAGAAUUAUUUUUAUUUCACACAAUUUUCUAUUUCAAUUAAACGGAUUCUUAUUUAGCUUUGAACUUUUUACAAAAUUUAGAAAUUUAGGAUUAAUCAAAUUUGAA